GGCCCCCGCCAGGGGGCAGGAGCACACAGGCCAACCGGAGUGGGAACAAGGGCAGACCGCCGGGAGCGCGCAAAAGACGGGUCAGGGCAGGGCCAGGAGCAGUGGGCGUCGCUGUCUUCCUCAGGGCUACCGACCCUGUUUCUCAAGGGGAAGAGGCACAGAGGCCCCAGUUGGUGGAGGCCUGGUGACCGCACUGCAAUCCCAGCUGGCGGAGAAUGUUGGUCCAGCACCAUUUGUUGAGGAGACCGGUGGAUUUUAACAUGACACCGCAGACUGCAACCAUCCUUUAAGGAACUACCACUCAUCUAGUUUGGGACAACGCAUCACAACAGACUGAAUGCAGAAGCACGUAUGAGGAUCAAGCUGUCUAUUCUCCAGCCAUUAAAGAGAUUUGCAAAAAUGUAAAACAAUGACA